rnacentral:rRNA from 1 species
UACGUAGGUGGCAAGCGUUGUCCGGAUUUAUUGGGUUUAAAGGGUGCGCAGGCGGCCAAGUGUGUUAGGCGUGAAAGCCCGAGGCCUAACCUCGGAAUUGCACCUAAAACUACUUGGCUAGAGUACUGGAGAGGGAAACGGAAUUCACGGUGUAGCAGUGAAAUGCGUAGAUAUCGUGAGGAACACCAGAGGCGAAGGCGGUUUCCUGGACAGUUACUGACGCUCAGGCACGAAAGCGUGGGGAGCAAAAGGG